rnacentral:rRNA from 1 species
UACGUAGGGUGCAAGCGUUGUCCGGAAUUAUUGGGCGUAAAGAGCUCGUAGGCGGUUUGUUGCGUCGGGUGUGAAAGCCCGGGGCUUAACCCCGGGUCUGCAUUCGAUACGGGCUAGCUAGAGUGUGGUAGGGGAGAUCGGAAUUCCUGGUGUAGCGGUGAAAUGCGCAGAUAUCAGGAGGAACACCGGUGGCGAAGGCGGAUCUCUGGGCCAUUACUGACGCUGAGGAGCGAAAGCGUGGGGAGCGAACAGG